UGAGGAAUCUACGUUGUGGGAUUCUUAUGAGAAUCUGAUGCCUGAUGAUCUGUCACCGUCUCCCGUCACCCCCAGAGGGGCCUUCUAGUUGCAGGAACACAAGCUCAGGGGUCCCACUGAUUCCACAUUAUGGUGAGUUGUAUAAUUAUUUCAUUAUAUGUUACAAUGUGAUAAUAACAGAAAUAAAGUGCACCAUACAUGCAAUGCACUUGGAUCCUCCCCAAACCACCCCCACCCCAAUUCCAGGUAAACACUGCCUUCCGUGAAGCUGGCCCCUGGUGCCACAAAGGUUGCAGAGUGCUGC